GAUUCAUUAGAAUAAAUCAAGAAGUCCCAAAAAUAAAGUUGUAAACACCGGGGUUUGGCUCGCAUUAUCCACACUAUUUAAGGAUUUAUCAGAGUUCAAAUUUCAAAACCAGCUUUUCAAUUUCAUUUAGGAAGAGCAAAUGGAAGAAACCAAAGGGCAAAUCAUAGACGGUACUCCAAAACCACAAAUCGCAGUUCCAUGUGCCAAAGCUGCGUUUCUGCUUUCUUCACUGAAAUCAUCUUCUAAUAGCGUCUUCGAAUCUGCAGAAAACGGCGAACUUGAGGAGAAGUUGAAGAUGAUCAGA